rnacentral:rRNA from 1 species
UACGUAGGUCCCGAGCGUUGUCCGGAUUUAUUGGGCGUAAAGCGAGCGCAGGUGGUUUAUUAAGUCUGGUGUAAAAGGCAGUGGCUCAACCAUUGUAUGCAUUGGAAACUGGUAGACUUGAGUGCAGGAAAGGAGAGUGGAAUUCCAUGUGUAGCGGUGAAAUGCGUAGAUAUACGGAGGAACACCGGUGGCGAAAGCGGCUCUCUGGACUGUAACUGACGCUGAGGCUCGAAAGCGUGGGGAGCAAACAGG